AUUGAACGCUGGCGGCAGGCCUAACACAUGCAAGUCGAACGAGUGGCGGACGGGUGAGUAAUGUCUGGGAAACUGCCUGAUGGAGGGGGCUAACUACUGGAAACGGUAGCUAAUACCGCAUACCAUCGGAUGUGCCCAGAUGGGAUUAGCUAGUAGGUGGGGUACCGGCUCACCUAGGCGACGAUCCCUCGCUGGUCUGAGAGGAUGACCAGCCACACGGGAACUGAGACACGUGCCAGACGCCUACGGGAGGCAGCAGUGGGGAAUAUUGCACAAUGGGCGCAAGCCUGAUGCAGCCAGGCCGCGUGUGUGAAGAAGGCCUUCGGGUUGUAAAGCACUUUCAGCGGGGAGGCGUUACCCGCAGAAGAAGCACCGGCUAACUCCGUGCCAGCAGCCGCGGUAAUAC
rnacentral:rRNA from 1 species